GAUGAACGCUGGCGGCGUGCCUAAUACAUGCAAGUCGAGCGAAAGGACGAGGAGCUUUUGCCUCUGCCGUUAGCGGGGGACGGGUGGGUAACGAGUAGAUAACAUUCUUCUAUGUCUUGGGUAAUAUCGGGAAGCAAGUGAUGAUAACGGAUCAUACGAUGUACCGCAUAGAUCAAGAGUGAAUGACGGUUUUGGUGUCACUUAUAGCUGGUUCCGGGUCGCAUUAGCUAGUUGGUAAGGUAACGGCCUACCAAGGCAACGAUGCGUAGCCGACCUGAGAGGGUGAUCGGCCACACUGGAACUGAGACACGGUCCAGACUCCUACGGGAGGCAGCAGUGGGGAAUCUUCCGCAAUGGGCGAAAGCCUGACGGAGCAACGCCGCGUGAGUGAAGAGGGUCUUCGGAUCGUAAAGCUCUGUUAUUAGGAAAGAACAAAUGUGUAUUUAACCAUGCACGUCUUGACGGUACCUAAUCAAAAAGCCACGGCUAACUUCGUG
rnacentral:rRNA from 1 species